CUCCGGAGCAAAGGUUUACCGCCUUGAGAUCGGCGAUCGUCCUAUCAGCUAGUUGGCGGGGUAAAAGCCCACCAAGGCUAUGACGGGUAGCAGGUGUGAGAGCACGACCUGCAACAUCGGGACUGAGACACUGCCCGGACUCCUACGGGAGGCUGCAGCGACGAAUCUUCCGCAAUGGGCGCAAGCCUGACGGAGCGACGCCGCGUGUGGGAUGAAGCGCCUUCGGUGUGUAAACCACUGUCAGGAAAUAGAACCAAUGAUCAUUUCCAAAGGAAGAGACGGCUAACCCUGUGCCAGCAGCCCGCGGUAAUACAGGGGUCUCGAGCGUUAAUCGGAAUUACUGGGCUUAAAGGGUGCGUARGCUGGCCCGCAAGUGCUUUGUGAAAUCCCCUGGCUCAACCAGGGAACUGCUUGGCAUACUGCGGGUCUUUGAGGAAAGUAGGGGUUGCCARAACUGUARGUGGAGCCGGUGAAAUGCCGUAGAUAUCUACAGGAAUGC
rnacentral:rRNA from 1 species